rnacentral:rRNA from 1 species
AGAAUCAACGCUGGCGGCGUGCCUAACACAUGCAAGUCGAACGAGAAAGUGGAGCAAUCCAUGAGUACAGUGGCGUACGGGUGAGUAACACGUGACUACCUACCCUCGAGUGGGGAAUAACCUCGGGAAACCGGGGCUAAUACCGCAUAACAUCUACGGAUCAAAUGCGUAAGCAGCUUGAGGAGGGGGUCGCGGCCGAUUAGCUAGUUGGUGAGGUAAUGGCUCACCAAGGCAAUGAUCGGUAGCCGGCCUGAGAGGGCGCACGGCCACACUGGAACUGAAACACGGUCCAGACUCCUACGGGAGGCAGCAGUGGGGAAUUUUGCGCAAUGGGGGAAACCCUGACGCAGCAACGCCGCGUGGAGGAUGAAGCCCCUUGGGGUGUAAACUCCUUUCGAUCGGGACGAUUAUGACGGUACCGGAUGAAGAAGCACCGGCUAACUCUGUGCCAGCAGCCGC